CCAUCGGCAGCGGAGCAGGCAGGCGACCGCGACAUCAACGGCCAGCAGCCAGGUGCUCUCUUGAUCCCUAAUUCUGGACUGAUCGGUGUGUGAUUCCCCUGAUCCCUAAGUUUUUAUUCCCCUCAGAUUUCGCAUGCCUACCUAUUUGCAAGUGCUCAGAUUUCAGCCAGGACGCCUGCUAGCAUAUUAGCACCUAGCAAUAGCAGUACCAUUCUAUUAGUUGUUUGCAAUCAACGUGUGUCGCUGGUGCCGUGAACUAUCUAGGUAAGUAUUGAUGAGUAUACGUGUGUCCUGGUUUCUGUGAUUGCAAGAUGUGUGGUUUUUUAGGGGGAAUUGCAGGAGAUAGUUUGGUUCGUGUGAUUGUAGGACCCUAAUUUUAUAGGAAAGACUUGAAGGACCAAAUUGUCGACUGUGGUUGUCAUUGCUAUAGUCAGAUUACUUGUAUUAGGAAAUAUGGGAUAGUUUGAAUCGAUUAGCAGUUGUACUGAUCUACCGUUUUUUGUACAUUAUGCCCAACUUGAAACCAAUAAGCCAACAUAAGCCCCCUGUAGGCACAGUAUUAAAUUUCAACUUAUUUUUACAACUUUAACACCAAUAAGCCUCUAUUUUCCAUCUGGUAAAGGAUGUGUACCUUCCAAGGAAUUAUAGAUGGUCUUAAGUUUUCUUUACAUUUGAGCACUAGCCCAUGUCAUACACAUGGUAAAUGUGUGAUCCGUUGUACAAUGCGAAACAAGUAUAUGAGAUGCUGAAUAAUAUAUAUUCUAUGCAGCUUGAUUGAUAAUUUAUAAAGUGCAUUCCCAGAUUUCCUUGUUGUGACUCAGGUGGAUAUGAGGGACACAUGUAAUCUCAACGGACAUCAGUUUUAAAAAGCAAUAAUUCCCUGGGCAAGUUCUUUGCUAUGUAAAAUGGCAUAUCAUGAAUUUGUAACCUGAUAUUCACUUCCAUUUUCAUAAGUUAGCAGUUAAUUUCCUGAUUUUAGUCAAUUGUGGAUCAUGUAUCUCUUCUGAACAGUACUUGUGGUUAGAAUACUCUUUUUUUUUUGCGUACUAUUCCUUUUUACAUUUAGUGCCUACAAUUGUGAAUUUUAAAAUGUUGUUAGAAUAGCAACUAUUGGCACAUGCCUUUCUAUUAGUUCUGAUUUUUUGGUUAAGAAAGUCUUUUUUAGACAUUAUUAAAACUAAUAUGUAUUUUUAAGGUACUGCAAGUUUUUUUUGUUGAGUAACAACUUGUAGUUUCACGAUCAUUGAUCAAAAUGAUGUGUACUUACAGGGAACUACAUGGUUUCGGGUUUGUUAAAUUCUGCCACCUUGAGAGUGCCGCAUAUGACAAGCAAGAAAUUAAUCAUCAAAUUAUACGUGGUCGAGAUAUUACAAUAGUCUUUCCGAGGAGAACAGAAAAAUCCCACAAGAACUGCGCUUUAGAACAAGAUCAAGGGAACAGGUUUAGAAGAUGUACUUUAUGACAUGUCAAAGAGGUCAAAGAGCCUUUGUUGAACCAUGCCAAAGGAUGUCUACACAAGAUGAUGCAACUAAAAAUCGCAGGAAACCAGGAAGCAUCAAGUUUGCAGGAGGAGCAAUGCAAUGGCCAGGGUCAUGCUAGCAUUGUAGAGAAUGCUGAUUUUAUGCCUGUACUUGAAGGCGCUGAUGGUGGUAGUGUGCAGAAUACUAAUAUUAUUAGUGAUCAGGGGAAUGCAGAGCAUGGAAGCCCAAGAUCAGGAGAUGGCGAAGAUUCAAAAGUGCAGGCUACCAGUUCAGAUGUUGGUGAUGAUCCUAUAGGACCUCUGCCAUAGAGGUGGAUGGCGAGGAACUGCCAGAUUGCCUUUCGAAGGAAAGCACUGAAUGGCAGAUUUCUUCCCAAGAACCACCUCCCUUACAACCAGCGUGGCAAACAUAGAGGGAGAGGAGGGCUUGGC